rnacentral:lncRNA from 1 species
GCAUAACUUAUUGACAGUACCUGUUACACCAAUAACAUUCUAACUGUUCUGAAUUUUAUGGAAAUAAGCAUUGUGUGUAAGUUUCAAAACAUUUGGUUGUGGCAAACUUAAGUUAGAGAACGGAAACAAAAAAGUCAGCAUUUUUUUCCAUUUGUAUAAGGGUAUAAGUCUGAAACGGACGUACUUACAGACAAGGGUACAACUUAAUGCCCCCUUUGCUACAGUGGGGGCAUACAAAUUCUACAUGUUCUAUCUGAGGAAAUAUAUACCAACGAUCUACAUUAAAUUGUGCAAGAAUUUGUCAAU